GUAGCUCAGUGGUCAAGCACAUGCUUAGCAUGCAUGAAGCCCUGGGUUACAUCCCCAGC
rnacentral:tRNA from 1 species